rnacentral:ncRNA from 1 species
GUUUUUGUUCAUGAUAUCAACAUGUGCCCCUGGUGCAGAUCUUGGUGGUAGUAGCAAAUAUUCAAAUGAGAACUUUGAAGAGUGAAGUGGGGAAAUGUUCCAUGUGAAAAUCACUUGGACAUGGUCAGUUAGUUGAUCCUAAGAGAUGGGGAAUCCUUGUAUCAAGGGUGCACUUUGCAUGAACAUCGAAAGAGAAUUAUGUUAAUAUUCCUUAACCGGGACAUGGUGGUGGACGACAAUGUUAGGAAAUAUGGAGAUGUCAUCGGGGGCCUGGGAAGAGUUAACUUUUAUUUUUAACAACCUUCCCACCCUAAAAUCAGUUCAACUGGAGAUAGUGUCCAACAUCUAGAAGAGCACCACACAUUUUGCGAUGUUUGGUGCCCCCUCGAUGACCAUUGAAAAUAUGGAGAACCGAGUACCAUCCAUGCCCGAUCGUACUCAUAUCUACCUCCUUGGAUUUUUCAAUGCCCACUAGGUUAGCGAUCUUGAUGAGAGAAUAUCUACCUUGGGCUACUUGUUUUCUCUUGGAUCUAUACCAAUUUGUUAGUAUUCUAAGAAGAAACAAGUUGUUAUUCUCUUCUCCACUAAUGACAACUAUGCUAGUGAAGUUCAUGUCGAGAAGCAUCUUCCCUGGAUACAGAUGAU